rnacentral:rRNA from 1 species
AUUGAACGCUGGCGGCAUGCUUUACACAUGCAAGUCGGACGGCAGCACAGAGAAGCUUGCUUCUUGGGUGGCGAGUGGCGAACGGGUGAGUAAUAUAUCGGAACGUACCGAGUAAUGGGGGAUAACUAAUCGAAAGAUUAGCUAAUACCGCAUAUUCUCUGAGGAGGAAAGCAGGGGACCUUCGGGCCUUGCGUUAUUCGAGCGGCCGAUAUCUGAUUAGCUAGUUGGUGGGGUAAAGGCCUACCAAGGCGACGAUCAGUAGCGGGUCUGAGAGGAUGAUCCGCCACACUGGGACUGAGACACGGCCCAGACUCCUACGGGAGGCAGCAGUGGGGAAUUUUGGACAAUGGGCGCAAGCCUGAUCCAGCCAUGCCGCGUGUCUGAAGAAGGCCUUCGGGUCGUAAAGGACUUUUGUCAGGGAAGAAAAGGCUGUUGCUAAUAUCGACAGCUGAUGACGGUACCUGAAGAAUAAGCACCGGCUAACUACGUGCCAGCAGCCGCGGUAAUACGUAGGGUGCGAGCGUUAAUCGGAAUUACUGGGCGUAAAGCGAGCGCAGACGGUUACUUAAGCAGGAUGUGAAAUCCCCGGGCUCAACCUGGGAACUGCGUUCUGAACUGGGUGACUAGAGUGUGUCAGAGGGAGGUAGAAUUCCACGUGUAGCAGUGAAAUGCGUAGAGAUGUGGAGGAAUACCGAUGGCGAAGGCAGCCUCCUGGGAUAACACUGACGUUCAUGCUCGAAAGCGUGGGUAGCAAACAGGAUUAGAUACCCUGGUAGUCCACGCCCUAAACGAUGUCAAUUAGCUGUUGGGCAACUUGAUUGCUUAGUAGCGUAGCUAACGCGUGAAAUUGACCGCCUGGGGAGUACGGUCGCAAGAUUAAAACUCAAAGGAAUUGACGGGGACCCGCACAAGCGGUGGAUGAUGUGGAUUAAUUCGAUGCAACGCGAAGAA